rnacentral:misc_RNA from 1 species
UAAGACACUGAUGGCAGACCAAAGAA